rnacentral:tRNA from 1 species
GCUGGCGUAGCUCAAUUGGUAGAGCACCUGACUUGUAAUCAGGGGGUUGCGGGUUCGAGUCCCAUCGCCAGCUCCG